GACGAGGGAUCCUAGCGUUGUUCGGAAUUAUUGGGCGUAAAGCGGAUGUAGGUGGCUUUGUAAGUCAGAUGUGAAAGCCUAGGGCUCAACCCUAGAAGUGCAUUUGAUACUGCGAAGCUUGAGUGUCGGAGAGGUUACUAGAAUUCCUGGUGUAGUGGUGAAAUACGUAGAUAUCAGGAGGAAUACCGGAGGCGAAGGCGGGUAACUGGCCGAACACUGACACUGAGAUCCGAAAGCGUGGGGACCAAACAGG
rnacentral:rRNA from 1 species